CAAUAACGUAUAUUAAAGUUGUUGCAGUUAAAAAGCUCGGUCCGCCUUACGGUGUGCACCAGGUUUGACUUGGGCAUUUUCCUGUAGAACGCACUGUUCUUAACUGAGUGGUGUGGGAUGCAGGACCUUUACUUUGAGAAAAUUAGAGUGUUUCAAGCAAGCGUUUGCUUUGAAUACUGCAGCAUGGAAUAAUACUAUAGGACUUCGGUUCUAUUUGUUGGUUUCUAGUGCCGAAGUAAUGAUUAAUAGGGACAGUUGGGGGCACUCGUAUUUAACUGUCAGAGGUGAAAUUCUUGGAUUUGUUAAAGACGAACUACUGCGAAAGCAUUUGCCAAGGAUGUUUUCAUUAA
rnacentral:rRNA from 1 species